rnacentral:rRNA from 1 species
UUGAAUGGCCGCGGUAUUUUGACCGUGCUAAGGUAGCAUAAUCAUUAGUUUUUUUAUUGAAAGCUGGAAUGAAGGGUUGGAUGAAAAAAUAACUGUCUCUAAUUUAUUUUAUUAAAAUUUUAUUUUUAAGUUAAAAAGCUUAAAUUAUUUUAAAAGACGAGAAGACCCUAUAGAGUUUAAUAAAUAUUUUUAUUUUAAAAUUUAGUAUUUAAGGUUUUAAUAUUUAUAUUUAUUUAAUUGGGGUGAUUGAAAAAUUUAAUUAACUUUUUUUUUAUUGAAAUAUAAAUUUAUAAAAUUAUGAUCCAAUAUUUUUGAUUAUAAGAAUAAAUUACCUUAGGGAUAACAGCGUAAUUUUAUUAGAGAGUU